UACGGAGGGGGCUAGCGUUGUUCGGAAUUACUGGGCGUAAAGCGCGCGUAGGCGGACCUGCAAGUCAGACGUGAAAUCCCUCGGCUCAACCGGGGAACUGCGUCUGAUACUGGAUGGCUUGAAUCCGGGAGAGGGAUGCGGAAUUCCAGGUGUAGCGGUGAAAUGCGUAGAUAUCUGGAGGAACACCGAUGGCGAAGGCAGCCCCCUGGGUCGACACUGACGCUCAUGCACGAAAGCGUGGGGAGCAAACAGG
rnacentral:rRNA from 1 species